AUCAAGUAUAUGCAUACUUCAAUAGAGCACAUUGUCUAUUUUGACGUGGCAUAAAAGUAAACCACCUCAAGAAGAUUUUCUAUUUUGUAAAAUUUUAUUUGUCAAAAUUCCCUUCAUAAAAGGAGCAUAAAUUUUAAACACGCAUCUCCGUUAAUGCAUCUCCGUCAACGAGUGUGCUUUCUCGUAAAAACAUUGAAGUUGAAGGCUAUUUACGUCCUUUUCCCUUUUUUGCAUCAAUUCUAACGCCCUUGUUAACCAUCGACCAUCUCCAUAUGCUUUCUCAUCUUCUUCUCUUCUCCUUCACAGUUAUGUCCAGGCUAGCAUAAUUUAGAUUUGAAUUGGUUUUGAUGAUGCAAUAUUUGGUGCUUCCUUUGUAUGUCGACACUUAUAUAGAGAAAAUGGUGUUGUUUCAUAUGAGACGGAUAGAAGAGUGGUUCAUUUUUUGGGAAUUCAGCUACCUGUUUUGAGGAGGAGAAAUUCAUUACGUGGUGAAAUCAGAAGAAAUAGAGAAGUAUGUCAUGUUAGAGGAGAAAUGUCGACUACUGAUGGAAAUAAGAGAAAGUGCAUUCAUGACAACUCAAGGAAAAAAAUUACCAAUCAAGCCAACAAGAGGUCUAAAGGAAUGGCACCACUUGAAACUGACAUAAAAAAGGAAGUCAAGUGUCGCUUCUGUAGAAAAAACGGGCACAUAAUGCAGGAUUUAUCAAGUUUCAACAAUGGCUUGUUAAAAAAGGAUUUAAGAAACCUGCGAAAGCCAGUGGGAUCUGAACGAAGCAUCUACACUGGAAACAAGAUGCAGUCGCAUUUGGAAGCUAUUGGGACAUGCAUUUAGUUCUUAGUAGUGGUUUUAUUUUAGAGUUAAAAAAGACUUUUUAUGUUCCUAAUUUUUCUAUGAAUUUAAUUUCAGUAUCAAGACGUGUACCUUUGAGAUAUUCCUUCUUUGUAG